CACCACUCAAGCACGGCUUGGUGUUGGGCGACGUCCCUCCUUGGGGACGCGCCUCGAAACGCUCGGCGGCGUGGCACCGGCUUUAAGCGUAGCAGAAUCUUUCGCUUUGGAAGUCGGGGCCCCGUCUGCCGGAAGACCUACCAUCAA
rnacentral:misc_RNA from 1 species